ACAGGUACUAGGACAAUGGACAAUGCAUUUACAAGCCUACUAUGACUGGUUGCAUUUAAUGAAAUCUGUAUUGGAUCCCACAGUUUUUCUUAAUUGGUGUGCUGCUUAUGAAGAAGCUAAAACACUGCAUGUGUCCCGGCAGCGCCACAUCAACAAAACGACCCUGCAACUGCUAAUGGCUCUGGAACACCCUGUUCAUCAUUCCCCUAAGGAAGUAAUAAGAGCUUGGGUCAUGGAAGUUUGUGAUGCCUCUGUCUGAUAGCUCUGUCUAAUGCUUUGCACCCUAAGUACUUUCAAGGGUAGCCACCCUUUGAGGCCUGGUAGCCAGAGAUGGGUAAGAGCCUCUCAGGCAGGCCAACCUAAGAGAGGCACAGUCACCACGUUGGGGAACCACUGAGGUGGGGACAACAAGAUUAGAGCAAAGAACUCUAAUUCCCACUGUCAGCCACAAAAUAAAAUAAAAAGGGUGAUAUGAAGCAGAUAAGGCCUAAAGAACUGGUUCAUGCCUUAAGCUAACAAAGAGCUCAGACAUGUACAGUAGUACCCUGACCUAGAGGACCUGAAACUGGACCCUCAAUAUCACUGUUGGCAUGUGACCUAGAACCAGCCAGGAAACACCAGGGCAGCUGGAAGCAGAGCCCGCCAAAAAGUACACACAUGAAUAUGUCAGUCCUUUGUUUAAUAAACGAGAUUACUUACAUCCUCC